GAGGGUAUAGCUCAGUGGUAGAGUGCAUGCCUAGCAUGCAUGAGGUCCUGGGUUCAAUUCUCAGUACCUGUA
rnacentral:tRNA from 1 species